rnacentral:sRNA from 1 species
AUGAGAAGCUUCGACUAAGGUUCGACUCGAGCGCCAGCGAGAGAACGUUGCCGCAGGCAACGGCCCGAAGGGCGAGGAGCGAUAGCGACGAGUUAUCCUUCCCCCACCACCA